rnacentral:lncRNA from 1 species
GGAGAACGUAUCUGGGGGGUCUCUUUUAUAGACAGGAGAGAGUAACCGAUUGACAGCGAUGUCCAUAACUGCUUGGUAGUGGACCGUUCGGGGCCAUUUGAAGUUUGUUAUGGAGAGUAGUGGUGUCCGUUGUCGCGACUUGUCGAAGAGUGGUGGGGCCACAUGGAGUUUGUUACAGAGAGUGAAGUGGUGUCCGUUGUCGCGACUUAUCGGGGAGUUCAGGCCAGACUGUUGA